UGAAGAUGGAUAAAGAUAGUUAUUUGGCGGCACUCUAGCUUGGUUUCACCGGAAGAGUCGAUGCUUACGCUUCUGUAAUCUGGAACGUUUCCUCAUGGGCGUCGCAGUUCACACACGUCACGGAUUCCGCCGAAAGAGUCGAUAAUUAAAACUGAACUUUUGGAUCGGAGAUAUGCAUUUUCCUUGGCGGAGAUGCACAGCUCUGACACUAGACAAUAUUAUACACUCGAAGGGAACGCGUUUCGCCGGAAGAAUAAAUAAUUACAAAUGGUAUUCGUCAGUGAAAAUUUUCAUACUGGGAAUAAUAUUAUAUCAUAAGCAGAUUGAAAUGUGUGAACGUUUCAGUGCUUCGAAGACUAAGUUUCGUAGCAGAUUUUGAUUCCGUCACGGG